rnacentral:rRNA from 2 species
UUAAGGUUGACCUCGGAUCAGGUAGGAAUACCCGCUGAACUUAAGCAUAUCAAUA